ensembl:rRNA 5S_rRNA 5S ribosomal RNA
GUCUACGGCCAUACUACCCUGAACAAGCCCAAUCCCGUCUGAUCUCGGAAGGUAAGCAGGGUCAGGCCUGGUUAGUAUCUGGAUGGGAGAUCACCUAGAAAUACCAGGUGCCGUAGGCG